rnacentral:lncRNA from 1 species
GUUGCGAAUUAGGAAAUAAAUCCUAAUUGGGAGUGCACUUAUCGCUCAAAUUUAGGAAUCAAGUAAUAUUCUCAAUCAAAUUGAAUCACAAAAUAUUCAAAUUGAUGGCAAACAAGAUAAUUACCUAAAUUCAAAUUAUUGAGUGGAUAAGUUUCCCAAAUCGAGAUGCCGGCUUAGAACGGUGGUCCAACGGCAAGGGCUCACGAAUGGCGGAGGCUACACGGCUCGUGAUGAGGGACUCCUUGGUGUCCGGCUGGGCAAGGUUGCUCGUGACGGGGGUUCAUCGGUGGCCGCUUGCGAUCUUGGAGUAGCAAAGCAGGAGACGUGAGUGGUUUGCAGCUUUGUCGCUGGGCUGUCGGCGCACAAAUUAGCUGCAAAGUAGAGUAAAAAACAGAGCAACGAACAAUCAAUUGCCGCGGCGGGGCUUGAGGAUUGGUGGUCGACAGUGGAUCGAUCAAGAAUCGUCGAUGGAGCAAGGUUGUCGGUGAAGAGUGUCGAGCUCCGAGCACGAAUGAGUAGUGCUGAGAUGCAUGGCGGUGAAGAGUGUUGGGCGCUCGAUGAUUUGCCGGGAAACCUACAAAAAAUAUCAAGAGUGCGCCCGUUCUGACCAAGAGCUCUCUUGGCCGCUGCUUG